CUUCUGGUGACUAGACUCCCUUCCUGAUUGCGUAGAGGGCUGUUGUCUGGGAUGGUGAUCUGUUUCUGCUUGAGUUCCUGCCUUGACUUUCCUUGGUGAUGGACCGUGGCCUGGAACAAUAAGCUAGGAGCUGCCUCCCCUCCAUUAGAUGGCUUGGACCACUAGAUGCUGCUGCUAUCAUCAACGAAGACAUCAGCCGACCAGCCUCUUCCAAAAGAAUCUCUCACAGAAGCCUUGUCACUAGGAAUCCUGUAGAAGAACCCCUAGCGACAGCAACGCUAGGACUUUACUGAACGCCCCAAGAAAGAACCCAAAAACAUCACCCACAACCAAUGCACAAGCCUUGAAGAACAUUGCUGGAUU